rnacentral:misc_RNA from 1 species
UGAAGUAAAAGUCGUAACAAGGUCUCCGUUGGUGAACCAGCGGAGGGAUCAUUACAGGACUCGCAAGACUCCUACAACCCCGUGAACUUAACUAUAAGCACGUUGCUUCGGCGGGUGUCUCGGAGGGGGUUCUCCCUCCCCGAGACGCUAAACCCGCCGGCAGCCUACUAUACUCUGUCUCUUUGCGUUGGCAUCUCGAGUACAAUCAAACAAGUUAAAACUUUCAACAACGGAUCUCUUGGUUCUG